rnacentral:lncRNA from 1 species
AUGGAGUCCAGGCCCUCAGGGAGACAGCACGCCAGUGGGGGAGACGGAGACCAAUCACCCACCCAGUGUGCGGGGAUGAGAAGCUCGGGAAGGUCUGACCAGCCUUACGUCUUGAGAGGGAACCCCCUGCUUCUGUGUGUCAGGUGUUACUCGGGGUGCGCCAGUGGAAGCGGGAGGCAGUUGCAGCUUUCAGUCUUCCAGGAUCUCAACCAGUUCUCUCACUGCAGAGUCUGGAGAAGCCCAGCCCUCAGUGUGAAGGGAGAGCCACCGUGGUGCUCACAGCAAGACCCCCAGAGUCCCUUCUGGGCAGGGACACCCCUGGAGCGACCCUGUUUCAGUAUGAAGUUAUCUGGGUGGGAACUCACCAAGAAUGCACAGAGGGCGCUGGGCUCCAAGCUUCAGCAUAUUCUUUCACUGAACUCCACACAGCCCUGCUGAGCAGGUGGGCCCACCAUUCUCAGACCCCCCAGGGCCCCAUAG